rnacentral:rRNA from 1 species
CGCGUAGACGGCUGUCUAAGUCUGGAGUGAAAGUCCUGCUUUCAAGGUGGGAAUUGCUUUGGAGACUGGAUGGCUUGAGUGCGGAAGAGGUAAGUGGAAUUCCCAGUGUAGCGGUGAAAUGCGUAGAGAUUGGGAGGAACACCAGUGGCGAAGGCGACUUACUGGGCCGUAACUGACGUUGAUGCGCGAAAGCGUGGGGAGCGAACA